UUUCAAGAUCAAAACAGUGGCUUUCUUGUUUGGUUGAAAAAUGUUUAGUGGAGGGGAGAUUGCCCCAUUCCAAGGUCAGAAUUAGAUCAUGUCACAAGCUUUAAUGAGGCCUUACCUUGCUGCUUAUUGAUGACCUACUCAUGAAGGAUAAUUGUCAGGAGUUGAGUCCAGGACCUUUGAGCCAAUAUACUUCAUUCCUACCAGCUGAGCAAACCAUUGAGCGAACCAUUAUUAACUUUUUACCUUUGUUACAUUGAUAUCUACAUAAUUUUCAUAAAAGUCACAUGCUUGGUUGUUCAUACUUCUUUACAUCCUUUUAUUGUGUUAUCUGUUCACAUCUAUGUCCAUCCUAUCUUGUUAAAGUCCUUGGCAUGUCUUUUAACUCCUAAUAGAAGAAGUAAUUAAGAUACUAUGGGAUACUAUUAUAUUAUGUACAUUUAUGUGUUAAAAGUCAAGUUUGUAUUACUGUUUGAAUUGUUAGAGUAGAUUGCUUGAUUCUUGGUCAUAGGGAAAAAAUACUAUUUUAACUUAUUUGAAAUGCUUGACUUGUUUGGUAUUAAAUUGUCAACUUUCUAGAUAGUUUCUAUUGGAAAUAGAAAUUUCAUUUUUAUGUUUACUAAAACAUUGUUAUACUUUGUGUGUGUAUUCAUAUAAUAUUGUCAUGUACAUUUAAAUUAAUACAGUGGGCUUUCUAUUUUGGUCUAUAUGUCUGUUGGACUGGGAUAAAUAAUAAUUAAUUAUUAAGUAAAGCUGUAAAUAAUUGUAAUGGCUGGGCCAUUCAUUGUAAUACAAUAGGUUUACAAUCUUUGGUCCAUGUACCUCUGUGUUCAGUAAAUAUGAAUUGGAAAGGAAUAAAUGGUAACUAACACUAGCUGAUUAACUAACUAACUAACAUUCCUUUCCUAUUCAUAUUUACAUAACACUCUGAAACUGGAAUAGAUAGUAAUUCAAGUAUUAAGUAAAGCUGUAAAUAAUUGCAAUACCUAUUUUAGUUGGCCAUUCAUUGUUGAACUUGGAUUACCUCCUCCUUUCAGCCAUUCUUCAAAAUAUUUAUCUCAAUACUUGUGAACAACAAAUCUGAAUUGGGGCUUCAUACCUCACUUCAUGCUUGUAAUUACAUGCACCUCAUUUUUGUCCAUUUCUAUAUUUCUUGAUUCUCACCAUCUCUAAAGAUUAUUAGCUGUAAUUAUUCUGAGCCCUUGUUAAUAUUAGUGUUAGUUUCUAAAGGUACUAGUGUGCUCUAUACAAAUGAGCACUAUACACUGAAGUUGAAGCUAGGAUUUUGGUUUUGAAAUUCUUAAAUUGUGAGAGUAUAAAUGACUGGCAACUAAUCUUCCUACCAAAGUAACCAAAGUUUAAUUUGGGAACAAUAUAUACUGGGCUCUUAAUGUAGUAAGAUAAAUUUCAUAUGCAUGGAGGUACUAUUGAAUUGUUUAAUAGACAUAACAUGUGAUGGACACAUUAAUCCUCUGGCUAUCCUCAAUCCACAUAGCAGUCAUUACAUCAAAUGAGAUUAGAAGUUACCACAUGUUUAGAGUUUCAUUGGAUUUACAUGAAGUUGGCGGCUUAAGUGACAGGUGAAGAAGCUAGCUACUGAAGGAGUUAUUUCACCAUAUAAAUGCAAAAAGUGGUUUUCUGGAGUCAAUGUAGGUGAAUCUCUGUGGCUUCUUGUGAUGGGUAUUGGAGAGCCAUGUCUGUGUUCAGGCGCCCCUGCAUGGUGAAGAAUUUGCUGAUGUUAAUCUGAAAGUAGCAAUCCUUUAGUUAUCAUGAAUUUUGAGGACUCUUAUUCAUGUGAAGUUGGUUGUGUCUUGUUUUGCUUGUAUAGAUGGGAUUAUAUUGUUGUGUACCCAAUUAUUGUUUACAGCUGCUGUAUUUUAAAUUUACCUGUUGUAGUAUAAUAAACAUCUAGCACUUAUUAUUACAACUCUCUGUCAUUGAGUUCUUUUUUUA